AGGAGGACUUAGCACAGAAGCAUAGACACAUGCAAACUGUGUUGAAUUCUUCUCUUUGAGUUCUAAAUGGCCCACAAAUAGAGAUUGCUUUGUUUAUUUCCUGCUCCAUUUUACACAAGAUCCGUAAGGGCAUGUUUUUGGCCAUGGAUUUACCUCCACGAUGUGUGAUCAUGCCAUGCUUGUCACAUAUUGCCUUACUUCAGAAAGGCUAACCAUCUUAUUCAGUGAAAUGGGAUAUGGUACUAUGAAGAACUUUAAUUAAAGACUCAGCAGCUCUUUCUGUAUUAGUAAAUUUGUGGUCUUAAUUUGCCAACAGCAUUUAUGUUAUGUUUUUUACUAUACAAUAUUCUGCUCAGUCAAGCACUGUCCGAAAGAGUUAAACCUGAAGACAAAUGCAAGUCUGUAGUGUAAAUGUUUCCAGGGACAGAUGUUGUGAGAGAGCUCUAAAAACAUCUGAUGCUACUUCUAAUUGUUUCCAGUGAUACUUUUCAAAACAGAGUACAAUGCCCUGAAAAGCUGCAAGUUUCUGCAUUUGAUAAUAUCAGACAAUAUUCCGUUUGGAGCCUACGGUGACCCAAACAAAAUGGAGAAGAAUUGGCAAAUUAAAAAAAGAAAUUAUAAUCAAGGUCCAGGAACAAGAUCA